rnacentral:lncRNA from 1 species
CAUUAUCAGCCCUGUAUAAGGUUCUGUAUAAGGCCUUGUUUGCAAGGCCAGGCUGAAGGAGGGAGUUGUGGUAAGGGAAGAGGGCAGUGAGAGGGGCAGGGGGAGCAUGCUGUCAUAAUGAGCCAAUUGUGUGAGGCCUGAGUGUGCACUGGGCUGCUAGGUGAUGAUGGAAUGACGUGGAAGGGAAGGUGCAGUUCAGGGCCAACUCUGCCUCUUGUACCUGCCACAUGCAGUCAGUUUACAACCUGUGUGUUACAUAUGCCGUGUGCCUGUGCUGCUUGGAGCUUGAUCCAAGGCCUGCAGGAGCUGGUGGAAAUCUCCCAGCUGAUGUGAUGUUGCACUAAGCUAGUCAUUUGCAUGAAUUUCAAUGGUAGCCACAAAUGAAUGCU